UACAGAGGGGGCAAGCGUUGUUCGGAAUUACUGGGCGUAAAGGGCGCGUAGGCGGCCUGUUAAGUCGAACGUGAAAUCCCUGGGCUCAACCCAGGAACUGCGUCCGAUACUGGCAGGCUUGAAUCCGGGAGAGGGAUGCGGAAUUCCAGGUGUAGCGGUGAAAUGCGUAGAUAUCGGAAGGAACAUCAGUGGCGAAAGCGACUUCCUGGACCAAUACUGACGCUCAUGUGCGAAAGCGUGGGGAGCAAACAGG
rnacentral:rRNA from 1 species